rnacentral:misc_RNA from 1 species
UUAUUUAUUUAUUUUUUUAAAUAUUGUAACUAACAAAGAGAAAGAACGUGAACAUAUAAUGAUGAUUAAUGGAGAGGAAACAAGAUUAUGAAGAGUGGACCCAGAGGCUAAUGUGGGCUGGACCUUAUUCCUUAAAAUAGGGAUAUAGGGUUACACAGAAAUAGCAACUGGCAAAAUGUAAUUUGUACGCUAAGUUUUUGCCAUAAUCACCCAAACUCUAGUUGGUAUGUUGGAUCCACCGCUUAAAUCAUUUGUGGGACAAUCCUCCGCUGUCACCCUCCCAUAGUACUACACGUGGCCCUAUAAUUUUUUUUUACUAAUUAAAUUUCAAACUUAAAAUCUAUUUAGCUUCCAUCUUACAAAAGAAUGUAGCUUUAAAUUAGAGGGGAAAUGGCGAGACAAGUAAUAUUGUAUAAAUAUUAUAAUAGAUAAAAUUAAAAAUGAUUACACAUGAUAAAUAAAG